AUUGAACGCUGGCGGCAUGCCUUACACAUGCAAGUCGAACGGCAGCAUGAUCUAGCUUGCUAGAUUGAUGGCGAGUGGCGAACGGGUGAGUAAUACAUCGGAACGUGCCCUGUAGUGGGGGACAACUAGUCGAAAGAUUAGCUAAUACCGCAUACGACCUGAGGGUGAAAGUGGGGGACCGCAAGGCCUCAUGCUAUAGGAGCGGCCGAUGUCUGAUUAGCUAGUUGGUGAGGUAAAGGCUCACCAAGGCGACGAUCAGUAGCUGGUCUGAGAGGACGAUCAGCCACACUGGGACUGAGACACGGCCCAGACUCCUACGGGAGGCAGCAGUGGGGAAUUUUGGACAAUGGGCGAAAGCCUGAUCCAGCAAUGCCGCGUGUGUGAAGAAGGCCUUCGGGUUGUAAAGCACUUUUGUCCGGAAAGAAAUGGCCCUGGUUAAUACCUGGGGUCGAUGACGGUACCGGAAGAAUAAGGACCGGCUAACUACGUG
rnacentral:rRNA from 1 species